rnacentral:rRNA from 1 species
GAUGAACGCUGGCGGCGUGCUUAACACAUGCAAGUCGAACGGAAAGGCUCCUGCUUGCAGGGGUACUCGAGUGGCGAACGGGUGAGUAACACGUGGGUAAUCUGCCCUGCACUUCGGGAUAAGCCUGGGAAACUGGGUCUAAUACCGGAUAUGACCACAUUUUGGAUGGUGUGGUGGAAAGUUUUUCGGUGUGGGAUGAGCUCGCGGCCUAUCAGCUUGUUGGUGGGGUAAUGGCCUACCAAGGCGUCGACGGGUAGCCGGCCUGAGAGGGUGUACGGCCACAUUGGGACUGAGAUACGGCCCAGACUCCUACGGGAGGCAGCAGUGGGGAAUAUUGCACAAUGGGCGCAAGCCUGAUGCAGCGACGCCGCGUGGGGGAUGACGGCCUUCGGGUUGUAAACUCCUUUCGCUAGGGACGAAGCGCAAGUGACGGUACCUUGAGAAGAAGCACCGGCUAACUACGUG